rnacentral:tRNA from 1 species
UGGGUUGUAGCUCAGUGGUACAGUGCUCACCUAGCACAUGUGAGGCCCUGGGUUCGAUCCUCAGCACCACAU